rnacentral:rRNA from 1 species
GCGCAUGCCGAGAUCGAAGCAAUGGUGGGGACCUCCCGCCUGAUGGCGUCCGCGGACCUGCCCCGGCUCACCUACCUUCAGUGCAUCAUCAGUGAGACUCUCCGCCUCUACCCGCCCGCGCCGCUGCUGCUGCCGCACCAGUCGUCCGCGGAGUGCACGGUGGGUGGCUACAAAGUGCCGGGCGAGACGAUGCUGCUGGUGAACGCGUACGCCAUCCACAGGGACCCGGCCAUGUGGGAGCACCCCGCCGAGUUCAGGCCAGAUAGUUUUGAGAACGGCAAGGCCGAAGGGCUGCUCCUGAUACCCUUCGGGAUGGGCAGGCGCAAGUGUCCUGGCGAGGCAAUGGCUUUGCGGACCAUAGGGCUGGUUCUAGGGGCGCUGAUACAAUGCUUCCACUGGGAGCAAGUUGAUGGCGUGGAGGUGGACAUGACGGAGGGAGCAAUUGGGUUUGUCAGCCCCAAGGCCGUGCCGUUUGAGGCCGUGUGCCGGCCGCGUGCAUCUAUGUGUCACCUGCUUCACGAGCUGUCAAACUUGUUAUCGUAUUCAUUUAGGUCGAUAAUAAGGUGA